rnacentral:rRNA from 1 species
AUUGAACGCUGGCGGCAGGCCUAACACAUGCAAGUCGAACGCGAAAACCCCUUCGGGGGCAAGUAGAGUGGCGAACGGGUGAGUAACGCGUAGGAAUCUACCCAGGAGUGGGGGACAACCCGGAGAAAUCCGGGCUAAUACCGCAUAUGCCCUACGGGGUAAAGUGGGGGACCUUUAGGGGCCUCACGCUUUUGGAUGAGCCUGCGUCGGAUUAGCUUGUUGGUAAGGUAACGGCUUACCAAGGCGACGAUCCGUAGCUGGUCUGAGAGGAUGACCAGCCACACUGGGACUGAGACACGGCCCAGACUCCUACGGGAGGCAGCAGUGGGGAAUAUUGGACAAUGGGGGCAACCCUGAUCCAGCCAUGCCGCGUGUGUGAAGAAGGCCUUCGGGUUGUAAAGCACUUUCAGUAGGGAAGAAAAGCCUGAGGUUAAUACCCUUGGGUCUUGACGGUACCUACAGAAGAAGCACCGGCUAAUUCCGUG